UCGAACGAGAUCCAAGGAAGCUUGCUUCCUGAAAAUCUAGUGGCGAACGGGUGAGUAACACGUGAGGAAUCUGCCCCGAACUUAGGAAUAGCCAAAGGAAACUCUGGCUAAUACCUGAUACCCUCUUUCGGCCGCAUGGCCGAUUGCGGAAAGUUUUUCGGUUCGGGAGGACCCCGCGGCCUAUCAGGUAGUUGGCGGGGUAACGGCCCACCAAGCCUACGACGGGUAGCUGGUUUGAGAGAACGAUCAGCCACACUGGAACUGAGACACGGUCCAGACUCCUACGGGAGGCAGCAGUGGGGAAUCUUGCGCAAUGGGCGAAAGCCUGACGCAGCAACGCCGCGUGCGGGAGGAAGGCCUUCGGGUUGUAAACCGCUUUCAGCAGGGACGAAAAUGACGGUACCUGCAGAAGAAGCCCCGGCUAACUACGUGCCAGCAGCCGCGGUAAUACGUAGGGGGCAAGCGUUGUCCGGAUUUAUUGGGCGUAAAGAGCUCGUAGGCGGUUCCGUAAGUUGGGAGUUAAAUCUCUGGGCUCAACCCAGAGUCGCUCCCAAUACUGCGGUGACUCGAGUCCGGUAGGGGAGAUUGGAAUUCCUGGUGUAGCGGUGGAAUGCGCAGAUAUCAGGAGGAACACCAACAGCGAAGGCAGAUCUCUGGGCCGGUACUGACGCUGAGGAGCGAAAGCGUGGGGAGCGAACAGGAUUAGAUACCCUGGUAGUCCACGCCGUAGACGAUGGGCACUAUGUGUGGGAGGUGUCGACUCCUCCCGUGCCGGCGCUAACGCAUUAAGUGCCCCGCCCUGGGGGAGUA
rnacentral:rRNA from 1 species